GAUGAACGCUAGCGAUAGGCUUAACACAUGCAAGUCGAGGGGCAGCAUGGUCUUAGCUUGCUCAGGCUGAUGGCGACCGGCGCACGGGUGCGGAACGCGUAUGCAACUAGCCUCACAGAGGGGGAUAACUCGUCGAAAUACGGACUAAUACCGCGUACACCUCCUCUUGGGCAUCCAAGGUAUAGGAAAUGAAAUUCGCUGUGAGAUAGGCAUGCGUCCUAUUAGCUAGUCGGUGAGGUAACGGCACACCAAGGCGACGAUGGGUAGGGGAACUGAGAGGUAGAACCCCCACACUGGUACUGAGGCACGGACCAGAAUGGUACGGGGGGCAGCGGUGAGGAAGACUGGGCAAUGGGGGAGGGCCUGAACCAGCCAAGUCGGGUGAAGGAUGACUGUCUUAUGGAAUGUAAUCUUCUUUUAUACGAGAGUAGCAAGAGUAACGUGUGACUCCCUGCAGGUACCGUAUGAAUAAGCAUCGGCUAACUCCGUG
rnacentral:rRNA from 1 species